rnacentral:tRNA from 1 species
GCCUCCGUAGUUCAGUGGAAGAACCUCGGAUUGCCAUUCCGAAGACGGUCGGUUCGAUCCCGCCCGGGGGCUCCA